rnacentral:rRNA from 1 species
AUGAGGUACAGGCGCUCACAGCUUCACUUCAUCCUGCUAUUGCUCGCAUACUACUGCCCCACCCACAUCGCUGCCAACGGCAAUGGAACCACAGUCCAGUGCCUCCCUGGUCAGGCUUCGUCUCUACUCCAGCUCAAGCACUCCUUCCACAACCCAAACCUCUCGUCUUGGCAGCAUGGCACGGAUUGUUGCCACUGGGAGGGUGUUGGCUGCGACAUGGCCUCCAGUCAGGUGAUCACUUUGGACCUCAGUUAUCGUGACCUACAGAGCACCAGAGGUCUCAGCCCAGCACUAUUCAACCUCACCUCUCUUAGAAACCUAAGCCUAGCAUCCCAACUCAGCCUACUUUCACAAAAUAGUAUCUCCGGCGAGGUUCCUGAGUUCCUUGCUGCCUUCUCUUCCUUGAGUACCCUUGAUCUAUCUGAUAAUGAAUUUGAAGGGCAGUUUCCCACAAAGAUAUUCCACCUAAAAAAGUUAAGGUCAAUUGACUUGUCUUUGAACACUAGGCUUUUCGGGCACCUACCAAAUUUCCCAGUUCAAAAUAGUUUGGAGUUACUUGAUCUUACGGACACCAACUUCACUGCAUCAAUACCAGACUCUUUUGUCAACCUCAAGUUCUUGAGAUCCUUGGCGCUCAGCAUGAGAGAACUUGCCGAUGGCACUAUCCCUUUAACAUUCAAGCUUCCUAGCUUACAGUUCCUGUCACUCCAUGGGUCAGGCUCGGAGAAGCCAAAUUUCUCUUGGAUCGGCAAUCUUGAGCGUUUAAGAUACUUGGACCUGGAACACUACAACUUGUCCAGUCCAAUAACUUCUUGGGUUGGCAACCUUACAAGUUUGACAAGUUUGUUGCUUCGAGAUUGCAGCUUAUAUGGGAGGAUACCCAUCUGGAUCGGCAACUUAACAAAUCUUUCUAGGCUAUAUCUUACCAGCAAUAACCUCCAAGGUGAGAUCCUAAAUUCCUGGAAUAUAUCUGUAAAUUACUACCCUUUGAGUUUGACCGGUUUUAUCUCUAUAUGUGCAGGUGACAUUCCAAAAUGUUUGUUCAAUCAUCCAAAGUUGGGAGAACUGAACUUAGGAUCAAAUCAACUUUCUGGUCAUCUUGUGGAUGUUUCUGCACCUCGAUCUUCACCUUUAUAUUACAUUGUGUUAAGUUAUAAUCAGCUAAGUGGCCACAUACCCAAAUCAUUCUUUCAGUUGACAAAACUAGAAGAUAUUCUGCUUGAAUCGAAUAAACUGGAGGGCGCUGUGGAGCUUAGCCUUCUUUCAGGACUGAAAUAUCUAGAACUGUUGAGCCUUUCUGACAACAUGCUAUCAGUAACAGAUGGAGAAUAUCCAUUUCCUUCCCUGCCAAACAUGCAAAACCUAUACCUUGUGUCUUGCAACCUUGCAAAAAUACCAAGUAUGUUGAGGCAUCAAUAUGAGAUGGAUGAUGUUGACCUUUCAAACAAUAAUAUAGAUGGAGUUAUACCAUGUUGGUUGUGGGAGAAUGGGGAGAACAGUAUCCGGUUCAACCUUUCACACAACAUGUUCACUAGCCUGGAGAAGUGUACACUACUUAAUCCUACCAUGAGGAGUUUGGGUUUUCUUGAUCUUAGUUCCAAUAGACUUGAAGGGAAUUUACCAAUACCACUCAUAUCCAGUACAUUCGGUGGAGUUUUGUUAGAUUAUUCCAAUAACAGCUUCUCUUCAAUUACACCAGCCGUGGAUAUGCAUAUCAACAACUCCAUCAAGCUAGAUUUGUCCAAGAAUAAACUAAAUGGUGAUAUACCAACUUCAAUUUGUGGUGGAAACUAUGAAAUCCUAGACUUGUCAUACAACAACCUUACUGGCCCGAUUCCAGCCUGCCUAAUUCAACAUGGCAAUAUGAAAGUAUUGAAGAUGAGAAAGAACCAAUUACAUGGGAUACUUCCUGAAAAUAUUGGAGAAGGUUGUAUGCUUCAGACAAUAGAUUUGAACAGCAACCUAAUUGAAGGGAAAAUACCCAGAUCACUCUCUAACUGCAGAAGCUUAGAGGUCUUUGACAUAGGUAACAAUCAUAUUGUUGAUUCUUUCCCGACCUGGUUGGGCUCCAUUUCCAAUCUUCGAGUUCUCAUCUUGAGAUCCAACCAAUUCUAUGGUUCAAUUGGGAGUCUUACAAAAGGUGUUGCUGCAAGAAAAAUUUUCUCAGGAAUGCAAAUUGUUGAUUUGGACUCAAAUAACUUCUCUGGGAGCUUGAGCUCAAAAUGGUUUGACAUGCUACAAACAAUGAUGGCAAACUCUAGUGGUGAGGGUAAUGCUCUGGCCUUUGAUAGUAGUUUUCUUGGGGAUCAAUACUACCAAGAAAUUCUCACAUUUAAAGGGAUUGAACUUACAUUUACCAAGAUCCUGACCACUUUCAAGAUGAUCGAUUUCUCAAACAACGCUUUUGAUGGUCCCAUCCCAGCCUCUGUUGGAAAGCUUAUUGUUCUUCAUGGUCUGAACAUGUCACAUAACGCCUUCACCGGAAGAAUCCCAUCAAAGCUUGGUGACUUGGCACAACUCGAGUCACUGGACCUCUCCCAGAACAAGCUCUCAGGGGUGAUUCCACGGGAUCUAACCAGCCUAACAUAUCUCGCGGUGCUGAAUCUCUCCUACAACAGUUUGACCGGAAUGAUACCAGAAGGGCAGCAGUUCUCGUCAUUUACCAACAGUUCAUUCCAAGGCAAUGAAGGACUGUGUGGAAGGCCACUUUCCAAACAGUGCAACAGUUCAGUUACGGGAACUCUCAACUCAUCGGUGUCUUCACAAGACAGUGUUGGAACCAUAGUGUUGUUUGUGUUUGUGGGAUCCGGCUUCGGAGUUGGCUUUGCGGCGGCAGUUGUGUUGUCAGUGGUUUGGCAGGCUAAACGUUGGAACUGCAAUUGUUUCCCCGUUCCACCAGUGACCAUGAUAUGA